UACCAGCACCCCGAGUGGUCGGGACGUUUAUUGGGCCUAAAGCAUCCGUAGCCGGUUCUACAAGUCUUCCGUUAAAUCCACCUGCUUAACAGAUGGGCUGCGGAAGAUACUAUAGAGCUAGGGGGCGGGAGAGGCAAGCGGUACUCGAUGGGUAGGGGUAAAAUCCGUUGAUCCAUUGAAGACCACCAGUGGCGAAGGCGGCUUGCCAGAACGCGCUCGACGGUGAGGGAUGAAAGCUGGGGGGAGCAAACCGG
rnacentral:rRNA from 1 species